rnacentral:lncRNA from 10 species
UUCUUGCGACAGUGAAUGGGUCUCGCGAGAUCUGAUGGUUUUAAAAACGGGUUUCUCUACACAAGCUCUUUCUUUGCCUGCUGUCAUUCAUGUAAGACAUGACUUGCUCUUCUUUGCCUUCUGCCAUGAUUGUGAGGCCUCCCCAGCCACGUGGAACUGUAAGUCCAAUAGACCUCUUUCUUUUGUAAAUUGCCCAGUCUCGGGUAUGUCUUUAUCAGCAGCAUGAAAAUGGACUAAUACAAUGAGCAAGUGAAUUACUUGGAAAGAACAUUAUCUUCCCCUCCCUUACUUUGGUCCUUUCCAGCACUUUUCCUUCUUGAAAACCCAGCUGUAAGCCCUUUUCUGCAAGAGGCCUUCUAGAAUUCCCCCACAUUAGUCGAUUCUAUUCUGUCUUCAUCUGUUUGGGUGCUUAUCCUAAAAUAUGAUUGAAAACAAUAGCACAUAUGUUUCUUCUGUCAUCCCUCCUGGUGCCUAGCACAUAAUGAUGUUCAAGUAUUAAGUGAGAAGUGAAUGAAGGUUUUCCUGAAGCACACUUCCUCACUGUGGUUUACCUAAUGAUCUGGGCACCUUAGGGAACUUUCAGACUGAGGCAGGCUAAGGUGUAACAAUCAUUUUGAAUGACAGUAAUUUCAUUAAAACAUUGACUGUAAAACCCUAGCAGGCAGUAAACAGCACUAAUUAGUUCAGUCACAGUAACUGGCUAGAGAUGUGCAUUCUAAUAUACAUAUUUUUCUCACCCAAAACUUAAGUGCAUAUUUGUUGAGUUGCUCUAUCUUUUAGGUCGGGGGUAGGUGGGUUAGUGGUUGUAAUAACUGGGAAGGCUCUCUGAAGCUGCUGGUUUGAUGGUUGGAAGCAUGGAAUUAGACAUAUGUAUUAGUUACCUACUGCUGCAUAACAAAUUAUCCCCAAGUUUUGCAGCUUCGAACAGCACACAUUUUCUAUCUGAUAGUGCUUAUGGGUUGGGAAUCUGGGUGUGGCUUAGCUGGAUGCCUCUAGUUCAGGGUCUCUCCCAAGGCUACAGCCAAGGUGUUUGCUGGGGCUAUAAUCAUUUCAAGGCUCGACUGGGGACAUUCUUUUUCAAAGCUCACUCAUAUGGCUGUUGGUAAGAUUCAGUUCCUCGUGGACUAGUGGACCAAGAACCUCAGGUUCUCACUGGUUUUUGGCCAGAGACAUAAGUCCAUUUCCAACAAGGCUACCCACAGCAUGGCAGUUCUCUUUGCUCAUUACGAGGAGAGGGACAGAGAGAGACAGAGAGAGAGAGAGAAAGAAAGAGGCCACAAGUUUUUUUGGAACCCAAUACCAGAGUGAUCAUAGUAUUUUCCUGUACUGGAAUCCCAAAUGUGUUCUGGAACUACCUGGAACUAUUGGAGAUCCAGAAGUCACAUGAGAAGACCACUGUCUGAGACUCACUGAACUGGCCUACAACCUGGGACCUCUCAAUUAAAUCUUCCAAAGCCCAGCAAGAAGACCUGGCUUAUAAUGUAUUGGCCAAACUAUUUAGCAGUUUUUGCAAGCAGAUCUUUGUAUGUUGCCCAUCCCUUCCAUCUCCUAUACAAAUGAACACAUGUCCUUUCAUUAAGUCCUCAGUGGGUGUAUGCACUUCUGUCAUGCAUUCACUCAUUGCAAAGGUAGGUUUAUGAGACUUUUUUUUUUUUUUUUCUGAGAUGGAGUCUUGCUCUGUCACCCAGGCUGGAGUGCAGUGACGCAAUCUCAGCUCACUGUAAUCUCCGCCUUCUGGGUUCAAGCGAUUCUCCUGUCUCAGCCUCCUGAGUAGCUUGGACUAUAGGCACACGCCACCACACCUGGCUAAUUUUUGUAUUUUUAGUAGAGACGGGGUUUCACCAUAUUAGCCAGGCUGGUCUCGAACUCCUGACCUCAGGUGAUCCAAGGUGCUUGGCCUCCCAAGGUGCUGGUAUUACAGAUGUGAGUCACCGCACACAGCUGAGAUUUUUAUUAAAUAAACACCAUGGUACAGUUGCGAGGGUGGCUGAAGUUGAGUCCCUGCUCUGUGGCAUCAUCUCAGUUACUUAUUUUCUUUGAUCUUCAAUUUCAAUUUCCUGAGCAACAAAAUGCAGAAGUAAUGUUUCAAAAGACUAUCAGGUGAAUUGAGUGUGAGGCCAAAGAGAAGGCCCAGCAUAGCAUAAGAAGCUUAAAAGUGGGUUUAAUGAACAGUAAUUCUUCCUGUUCAUUCCUUCCUUUUAACCAUAGGCAUUUUACUUUGCACAGUGAGGUGAGGGUGAGGGUGGGAACUUGAACCAGGGUCUCAGAAGAUUAUACAAAGUAUAGCACAUGGAAGAUGUUCAAGGAUCAUUUAUCAAAUCAAAGAGUGAAUGAACCCAUGAUGGAAGGAGUGAACACACAGCCUGAGCACUCAAGAAACUUCCAGACCCUUGGGUAGAAAGCAUGGCAUUGCCAAGGGAGCUCUCACAGAUCACAGUGGGUUUCAGCCCAGGUGAGGGGAAUGGGUAUAGGAGGACUCCCAGGAUGCAGGCAUGUUGAAGAGGAAGCAGGGGCGCUUUAGGCCUUGGGGCUGGCAGGAGCAAAGGCAUCUAGGCUGUGUUGUGCCCAGCACAGGACAGCAGCAUAGCAGGUUGAUUGGAGGAUGCCAAGGAGCAAGACGGGAGCUCCAGGAGGAGGGACCCUGACUGUCAGGCUAAAGAUCUGGUAUCAGUCUGGCGACAGUGAGGGGCAGCUGGAAUCCGGGCCACCUUUGGGACGUGCCCCUCCAGCAGGAGCAGUAGCAGCAGCAGCAGCAGCAGCAGUCAUGUGGGCCGGAAGCAUGGAGAGUCACCCUUGGUUUCUCAGACUGGAGGGAGGGCCUCCCGCUUCCCAUUCCUGAGCACCACCCUCUCCGAUUACUAACAUAUCACCCACCUCCAUUUGGGAUUUGAAAAAUUCGAAAAUAUCUUAUUCACACCUAUGUAUAUCACUUCUCGACUUGAAGUCUAACAUGCUCCCCAAUUUACAUAUAAUUCGUUUGACUCGUGUAAACUGCAUUAACAAAAAGAGGAGCAAUGCGAUAAAUUACUAGUGACAGAGGCCAGCCUGGAUUGCAAUUAUUUUUAUAAGCCCCUGGUAAGCAAUGAUGUCCUGUUUUUACAGCACAUAAUAUCCCAGCAUUAUUGAAAUGCCAGCAGCGUCCACGAAGCACAUCUGUGCUAACCGGUCACACAGGUAGCAGGGCCAUGAGAAAGUACAGUGGCUGGAGAGGCCCAGUCCUGCUCCGUGGCCUUGCAGUCAUCAUAGUCUGGUGCGCUGUGGUCCCCUCCAACAGGAGCGAGUUGGAGUGGAAGGCGUGCAUGGAGAUUGCAGCUGGGUGGGCUUGGAUUCUGAUCUCCUUAUUAUCUUUCUAGUUAUAAAAAUUGAGCAAACCUCUUCGUCUCUCCUGACACCCGAGUUUCUGGCCUAUAAAGUGGGAAUGCUAAUAGGGGUAGCUCUCCUGUAUUGUAUCAGGGAAGGAGGAGAGACACGGAAUAUCUAAACUAACAAUGAUACCAGCUAAUAGUUUGUUAUUAAUUUAUUUAUUUAUUUAUUUAUUUAUUUAUUUAUUUAUUUAUUUAUAUUUUGAGACACGGUCUCACUCAGUUGCCCAGGCUGGAGUGCAGUGGUGCAAUCAUGGCUCACAGCAGCCUCAACCUCCCAAGUAGCUAGCUGGGACUACAGGGACCCACCAUCAUGCCUGGAUAAUUAUUUUUGGUAUUUUUUGUAGAGACAGAGUUUAGCCAUGUUGCCCAGGCUGGCUGGCCUCAACCUCCUCGGCUCAAACUAUCUGCCCUCCUUGGCCUCUUGAAAUGCUGGGAUUACAGGCAGGAGCCACCGUGCCAGACAACACUAGUAUUUAUUGAGUAUAUACAUGUGCCAGGCACAAAAGUAUGUGCUUGAGAUUUGUUUUCUGAUUUAACACUGCGGGCUCCCCUCUGAAGCGGGUGUGAUGAAUAUAAUUGCUAUUUUACAGGAAAUGAGAUGAAGAGGUAAAAAAGCGAAGUAUGUACCCAAGAUUACAGCUAAACUAGGACUUGAACCCAUGUCUGUCUGAAGUCCGAGCUGAAACUUUGGCCACUAAAUUGCCCUGUCUCACUACAGGGGAAGAAGCUGAGACCCAAAGGGGCAACUUGAGCCACCUGAGGUCACUCUGUGGAUAAGCAACAGCUCUCAGAGGUUUGCGUGAGACAGGCCGGAACUACUUCUCUCUGCCCUCCCAGGAUCUUUGCAUGACAUGAUAUGAAACCAAGAUUCUCAACAACCAAGAUUCUUCUGUGGGGCCCAGCAGAAGUAUCUGAGGAAUCUUUUCAAAAAUCUGCAUGAACUUGCUAAGGCUGCCAUUAACAAGUUCCACUUUUCUGGGUGGCUUAAACAACAGAAAUGUAUUUCCACACAGUCGUGGAGGCUGGAAGUCCAAGGUCCAGGCAUCCACAGGUUUGGUCUCUUCUGAGGCCUCUCUCUGUAGCUUGUAGAUGGCCGCCUUCUCCUUGUGUCUUCCCACAGUUAUCCCUCUUUCUGUAUCUGUGUCCUGAUCUCUUCUUAUAAGGACACCAGUCAUAUUGGAUUGGUGGACUCAUUUUUAACUUAAUUACCCUUUUACAAAUUCGAUCUCUAAAUACAGCCACAUUCUGAGGUACUGGGAGGACUUGUUCUAUUUGAAUUUUUUUUUUUUUUUUUUUUUUUUUUUUGUGGAGGGACACAAUUUGCUCAUAAUAAUGUGUCCCCUGGCCCUUCAAAACUCAUGUCCUUUCUGCGUGCAAAAUACACUGACUCCAUUUCAACGUGUUCAAAAGUGUUAACUGAUUCCAGCAUCAACUCUAAGUCCAAAAGCUCACCUAAAUAGCAUCUAAAUCAGAUGUGGGUGAAACUCAAGGUAUGAUUUAUUCAGAGGCAAAAUUCCUCUUCAGCUGUAAACUUAUAGAACCAGACAAGUUCUCUGCUUUCAAAAUACAAUGGUGGGGCAGGCAUAGCAUAGAUAUCCUAUGGGAGAAAUCAGAAAGAAGACAGGAGCCACAGGUCCCAAGCAAAUUCCAUUAGAUCUUAAGGCUCAAGAAUAACCCUCUUUGACUUCAUAAUCUAUGGACCACCUGGUCCCUCCCUAGCAGCUUCUGUGGUGGUUUCUCGUCAUCUCCCACCAUUGUCCCAGCAAAUAAAUACUAUGACCCAACAACUCACCAUGUGCCAGAAACAUUUCCUGUAUGUCAGUCAACUCAUUACAUUCUCACCAGGGCCCUAAGAAAGAAGCCCAGUGAUCAAUUCCAUUUGACCAAGGAAGAAAGUAAGACAUAGAGAGGUCAAGUUCUUCGGCCAGGGCCACGUAGCUUAUUAAUGGAGUUGCUGGGACUUGAACCCAGCCAGUCUGACCCCAGGGCCUUUUCUUAUACCGAGACCUUGGCAUUCCAGGUGAGGCUCCUGCUCACCAGUGUUAGACAAUCUCUGACCUGUUGUGUCAGCUCCAAGUGUUUACUGGUGUAAAUGUUUCUUCUCCUCAUCCCCAGAAGGAGUUAAAUGAGACAGAAGUCCUCCUCGUAAUCCUCUCGGUGCUCCUGUAGCUGGGACAAUGUGUGAUGCACAGAACACUUAUAAGUGUCUGUUAGUGAUGAGUGAAUUGGGGGAGGCUGUGGUCCUUCCCUGAAAAGGUGAACCAAUUAAAACUCAAAAUCACCUUAGCAAGAUACCAAAGAGCAGAAUUUCAGUGGUCCCAGCCCCUCUGGAAGCCCCUGGAAGCUUAUUUUCAUUCUGAAUAGACCUCCUUUGCUUUGCCUCACAGAGAGUGCUUCCAUUCAACCAGUAAUUAGUGUCUCUAAGUGGAAUCUACUUAAGAAAGGACACAAAGCCUGAGAAAGUUGUAUUAUGCCAUUUAUAAAUGUCCGGUGAUCUGCUGCUGCACUGUGAUUCACGGAGCUGAAAUAAAUGAUUUGCUUCAAAAAAAAAUUAUGAACGUUCAUUCCGCUGGUAGAAUCUCUUAAUUCCCGUUACACAUGUCAGCAUAUUAUGACUGGAAGCUGUCAGGUUCUAAUGACUAAAAUUUCAUUUUUCAGACUUCUCACACUGUGUGUGAGGACUAUAAGUUAGAAAUAUCUCUGCAGCUAAGUUUCUUCCUCAUCUGGUAAAUUUAGCUCUUUCUUUCUUUUCUAUUUAUUUUUUAAGUGUCCAUGUUUACAUGAAUACCUUGAGUAAACUAAUCUCAUGCUUCAUUCAAUAAACGAGGAGGUCUACUACUAUGGUGCUUUUCUUCCCAAAGCUGCUGUCCUUUUUAUGGGACAUAAUGUGUCUUGACAGCUGACAGAUUCAAUGCAAAAUUAUUUUUACUUGGCAGAGUGGAUCAAAAUAUGGAUUAUUUUAAAGAACAUUAGCACUUUUUUGUUUAAAGUAAAAUAUAUUGUUUAUGCUUUGUAUGGAUAAACAACCUUGACAUUGGCUGUAACUUGUUUUAUUAUCCUUGAAAUGGAAAUUUGUUGACACGAUAUUCAAUAAAUAGAAAUACUUCGGUCCUGUUCACUUAACUCGCAUACUAUACUAAAUAGGAAUUAUUGAUCCUCCAGUUAUUACACUUGUUCCUGAAAUGCUCUGUGGAGGGCAGGAAAACCAACUUCCAAUUCAGGUUGUUAAUAGAUUGGUCGCAAAAUUUAUGUUAUCCAUGUCCAACAAAUCACUAAUAAAAGCUUAUAAGAGGCUAGAUCAUCUGCAUUGAAUUACUCAUUCUUCCCCCCAUAAAAAGCCUUUAGCUAGAGACUGACCAAAGAAUUUAAAAUCUCUCAUUAUCUAUAAGUCAUUGCUCAAAGUGUCCCUAAAUGGGAUUAAAGCAUCGCUGCUCAGAUUUCCUACAAUGACUGCCCUCUUCUACUUCCACCUUGACUUAAAUUAAAGGCUAAUGAUAUGUUUCCAGAGGAAAGAAAGAGAUAGCUUUUCCUUGAACGACUUUCCAGGACUCCAGCAUCUAAUCUGUUACGGAAUAGCUGCUAUGCCAUGGUGGCCGACUGCAUCUGUUUUUCUGGGAAUAUGGUCCAGGUCUAAGUGGGUCUGGUGACCACGUUGUCAUCUCCAUACAGCUGGUCAACUCAGUGCAGGAGGAAACGGGACGUAAGCACCGUGCACCAUCCAGGGGCUGUUCUCUACCUUUGUUUACUGCCACUGCAAGGAUGUGUGCUUCAGGUGCUGCUUUGAAUACUCAGGGGCAGUCAAUGCAAAUGUUCCCUCCACUCAGUCUCCUUCCCUCCCACCCUCCUUUCUUUUUCUUUUUUUCUUUCUUUCUAUCCAUAAGCAUUUAUGGAGCACCAACCAUGCACCAAACUCAGUACCAGGCACUGGGACCCCCAGACGGAUCGGGCUUCCUGGUGCUCAAGCAGGUCUUGGUCUCCUGGGGGCUCAGACCAGCCCAUGUACUCAGACAUUUGUGUGGCAUGACAGUGUGGGUGGUGGCAGGAUGCCCAGUGGGAAAGGCCCAGGCCAGGCAUGCUGCUGGCCUGCCUAGUGACUCCUGUCUUUACCCAUAAGCACCUGGAGCCUGCUGAGGAUUAACUGUGAAUGAGUGACCAUCACACUGUAGGCCCUCAAUAACGGAUCAGUGUUAUUAUAAGGCUGUCCUAGAGGUGCGUACCAGGGGCUAUGACUUCUUUACAUGAGGCAGCCAGGAAAAUUUCACAGAUGAAUGAGAAAGCCAAUCAGAAGCAGGAGAAAACUGGGCUAUAGAAGACCCUGGUUUGACUAUAUUUCAUGGGGAUAGAAUGAAUUGAAAUGAAGUGAAAUAGAAAUAAAAACAAAACCAUUUGAGUAGGAGUGAGAAAGCAGUUGCAAAUACCCCUAGUGUCGAGGCAGGUAUUGCACGUGAACAUUGCAGACAGGCCACGAGGGGAAGCGAUGCAACCUCAAAGGCUAGAAGGUUCUUACCCAUGGUUGCCAGAUUUGAUUCCUUCAAAAGAAGCCCCACAUCUGGCUUAGGAUGCCAGAUCUCCAAAUGUUUAAGGGAAGAAAUCUAUUUAAAACCUUUUAAAGACACCAUGCAUGAUACACCAAAUGUAUCUUCAGGUCACAUAAAGAUUGUGGCCAAGCUAAUGUCUGCCUCUUGUCUGGACAUACCGAUUUUAUUCUUUCAUUCAAAAACGACUUGCUGGUACUUAUCAUAACAAGUCAGUAGAAACAGUAUUAGUAUUCAUACCAAAGAAGGCGGUAUUUGAAUCUGAGCUCCAGUACCUAAUUAGCUGUCUGACUUUGGGUCUGUUACUCAGCCUCAACUAUAAAAUGAUGGUUUUCAUACCUGCCUUACAUGUUGUUAAGAAGAUUCAAC